UCCUGGUGUAAGGAGUGAACCACCUGACAAACUGCCUGCCCACCCAAGUCACCUCAUCAGGCACCUCCGCCCCAUCUGUGGGAGUCUGUAGAUCUCACAUCGGCCUCAUCAGCCACAUUAGGACCCACAGAGCCCGAGCAGAAGCAAGUCAUCUCAACGUGAAGGGCAGCCUGUAGAAAGGAAGGUGGACAUUAGUAACUUUUAAUGGUGAUCAACUACUAACAAGGGGAGACUGUGAAGACCAGUUCCCCAAAAGAUAUACUGACAGGUGUGGUGAGAAAUGAUGGGAGGAGAGAUUCUGGGGCGAAGGAAUGCUUGUACAUGAUGUAGCUCAAGUUCCCAGUUUCUACAGGAACAAUCUUAACUGGGACAGCUGUGGAGGAUGGGGGUAUCACAGCAUGGACAAGGUCAGAUGAAAGGGCCCAUUUCUAGGCUGUGUGAUUCUGUGAACCACUGUGUAAAAAACUUUCCCUUCAAAUGAGGAAGCAGAGGGUUAAGAAAU